CCUACGGGUGGCAGCAGUGAGGAAUAUUGGUCAAUGGACGCAAGUCUGAACCAGCCAUGCCGCGUGCAGGAUGACGGCUCUAUGAGUUGUAAACUGCUUUUGUACGAGGGUAAACUCAGACACGUGUAUCGGGUUGAAAGUACCUUACGAAUAAGGAUCGGCUAACUCCGUGCCAGCAGCCGCGGUAAUACGGAGGAUCCGAGCGUUAUCCGGAUUUAUUGGGUUUAAAGGGUGCGUAGGCGGUUUGUUAAGUCAGGGGUGAAAUGUCGUGGCUCAACCCCUAAAGUGCAGUUGAUACGGGUUGACUAGAGAAUAGUUGCGGUAGGCGGAAUGUGUGGUGUAGCGGUGAAAUGCUUAGAGAUCAUGAAGAACACCGAUUGCGAAGGCAGCUUACCAAACUAUAUCUGACGUUGAGGCACGAAAGCGUGGGUAGCAAACAGGAUUAGAUACCCCUGUAGUC
rnacentral:rRNA from 1 species